UUUAGUUUCUGCCUUUUUUCUUUUUCUUUCCUAUGUGAGGAGAGAGAAGGGCCUUGGCAAAUAUGGAAGAAGGAGAAAAUAAUAAAGGGUCUAGAGGACAUGGUUCAAAACCCGGCAAACGCACUGACUGCUAAACGUAUUUUUCACAUUUUUAUGGUUUAAGUAAAGCUGUUAGACCUUUGCUGUAUUACUCUUGUUUUCUACUUCCUUACACCUAUGAUAAUUAUAAUAAAUCAUUCAUUCACUUAUUAAUCCAUUUGGCAUUUUUCUUGAUGGAUUCUAAGCCAGGCACUUUUGUGGUAAAUAAAGACAGGGAAUAAUGUCCCUGCUCACAGUUAAAUGAAAGAAAGACAAUAAGCAUUGACAAAAGAAUGACAUGAAGGAAGAGACCAGCAAACUCUUAGCGACAUAGAGGGGGCAGGGAAUUUUUAUGCUGAGAUCUGAACAAUAAGGGACAAUUUUACCCUGACUUGCUGUUUAGAAAAUUAUAUUUGCUAAUAAAUUAAAGAACAGUAGAUGUCAGUUUGUUCUAAUCUUCAAAAAGCCAACCCAGAGACAGUUCUUUGUUCAAUCAGUAAACAUAUGGCCGCAAAAAGUGUGUGUGUUUGUGUGUGUGUGUGUGUGUGUUUGUGUGUGUAUAACUGCUAAUGAGUAGUCUGGUCUCUUGAAUACUUUAAAAAGAAGAUAAAAAUCUCAAUUUACCUUAAUAAUUAAAACGUAACUGUAAUGCUUUAUGGAAUCAAACAAAAAAUUCUUGAAUGUUAAAUAUUAUUUAUUGCUCAGGUAUGAAAGCUACACAGACUCAUCUUUGUUCUCCAUGAAUUUGGACGCAAGGUCUUCACUUGUUUAUUUGAUGCAUUUUAUUGGAUAUACACAUGCAGGCACGAAUUUAAGUUUUAAUAGUCAGUGUUUUUGUUGUUGAUAGGAAGGUUUUUUUUUUUCCUUCUGUUGGUAACCUUACUGAGAGCAGAAUUAAGAUGAAAACUUGGCUUAGGGUAGUUUAAGGAGUGAGUGGGUUGAAAGAUGAGAUGAUGUUCACAUUCUUUGUGAAAAUUAAGAGCAAAAGUUGAAAAAUUGAGUAAUUUUGUUUGUAUAUUAUAAAGUGAUUGUAUAUAAAUCAGGCAGGAUAGCAUUAUUUCAGUUGCUCUCACAAUUCAGUAUGGGUAUACAUCAUAGAAACAUUGUUUGAUUAUAGAUGCAUGUCUAUCUAUGAGAUUGGUCCUAGGAAAGGAUUAGAAAUUUGAAAUUCUCUACUUUUGGGUUUAUAAGUGGAUCUUUUAAUUUUUAACUCAAUUUUGUAAAAGCAUUCCAUAGGAUUUUAAAGAAUAACACCAAGUUAAUUUUUUCAAAAAACGAGGUGACUUCCUGUUUGGUGACCUUAAUUGAGAUUCAGAGUUUCUACUGUUUAUACCAUGGAGGUACUUUCAUGGAAUCAAGUUUCUGAGCAGGUAGAUGGACACCCAGAGCCUUAGUUGGUGUCAGUGUAUGUCUUCAUCUGUGCCUAGAAGAGGCCUAACUGCUGAUCUCAUUCUGUGGAAUUGCAGGCUUCCGUCCAUUCAGAGAUGAUGCCAUGUAAGUUCCCUGAUGGAGUGGAUGUUAUCCUCAAAUGCAGCCAACAUGCUCCUUUUGAAUACUCUGUUAGUCAUUGCAUUGCCCCCUACUGCUGCCUGCUGGGAAAAAAAAUUAAAGCAACAUGAAAUUAAGUUUUUCUCCUAGAAGUCAUACCAUUAUUCAAGUUCAUGUGUCCUGUAUCAAAAUGCAAGAUGAAUUUGCUGUAUGAGAGAUGUUUGGCAAUGCCUUCUGUUAAAAAUUUUGCCAAAACCUAGUGCCAGAUUUCAUUGUGUUGAGAACCUGCAUUGUGACCUUUCUCGCUCCCUUCCUGCUGUAGCAUUUCAAUAGUGCCUCCCUUUUGGUGGCUUCUGCCAAUUUUCAGAGAGAUCAUGAUGCGCCUUCAUUGAGGGGUGUUUCAAAGAACCUAGACUAAUGCAUUUCAAAACUUAGGCUGCAAAUCACUAUUUGACCCUGGGUCCAGGAGUCUCAUCUGUACAAUGCAGUAAUGACCAUUAAUUCCCAGUUUGCUGUGAGGAUUAAAUAACACUUGCAAAUGGUUAGCACAGCUUUGGAAACACAGGUGCCUAUAAGGGCUAAUUUGUUUUCCCACCCGUUUCCUAAAAUGAGAGCAUUUCAGCCAAUUUCAAAAGUCUAUUCCAACUUUAACAUUUUAUAAUCCCCCCAACUCUAUCCCAGAGGCAUAUUUUAUGAGGUCCCUAAAAUUACUGAAAAUCUGUGGGGAGAAUUUGUUUGGAGAGGCAGUUUAUCCUAACACAGAAAUGUGUUGUGUACCAGAAGGCCAGAAACUAAAUAUAAAGAAAUGAAAAUUUUUUUUCAGAAUCCUGCCUAAAGAAGGAGACAAACACAUCAAUCAGCAGAUACAACAGAGUGAUGCAUAAAAGAUAUGCCAGUUUCUUGGGUAUGAUUAUGACAAUGUGUGGAAGGAGAUCAAGGAAGGCUUAUGCCAGAGGGAUGCCUGUGCAGGGCUUUGCACAUGGUUGAGAAGGAAGAAAAAUGUAUGGGAAGUUGCUUGGGGAAGUGCAAAAUCUAGAGAGACUCGAAGUAAUGUAAGAGCGUGACAGAUCCAGGGAACCGCACAUAUGUUGCCGCUGCAAAAAUGUAAAUAUCUGGGACAAAUGAGGGGGCUCAUGUUAUGGAAAUUACAAGUGGUAAGGUUCUUCAAUUGUCAACAGAUGUAGAAGGUAGUAAUGACAAGAUAAUGCUUUCAUAAUUAUUUUUGCUUCCAGACAGAAGAAAGAAAAAAAACUAUAUAGGAGAUUAUAUAGUAUCCGCUAAAUACAAACAAGGAACAUAGUCUCAAUAUAUUAUUUGCUUACAGAAAGGAAGUAAAAUAUUUCUAAUGAGAUUAUUUGCAAUGAGGUUAUUUCCUUUGAUGUUGUCUUUUGGGUGACUGACUGAAUCAGAUACAGUGCCUGAUAAUUCAUAUCACAUUUUACUACUCAACAAUAAAAACUAGUGCUAUCAGCAUAAAAAUAUAUAAAAAUAUAGCUCAUUGCAUCAAAUUCUUUCCAGGGUAGGCUUUAAGAAUUAUAGAAGUUAUAUCAAAUUGUGGGACUAAUAAAUAAAUAAUUAUUCAAAGUUUUCAUCUUCCCCUAAAGGUAAAUCAGCUUCCAUAGUUUUCAAAUUAAAAUAAAUUUUAUUCAAUAAAUACAAGUAAAAUCUUAAAUAAGGUUAAAUAUUUAACAUAUUUUAAUAACCACCAAAUAUAAAUUGCAAUGUUUAAAUUUCUUCAUUCUUACAUACUCUACAAAAAAUAACUUAAGUCAUGGCACUGAGAGUUGAGAUCUGACUCUCUUUUACUAAUUUGCUAUUUGGGACAACAUUAAUUCAUUUACUCACUUGACACAUAUUUAUUGUCUACUCCACAGCAGGCACUGUUCUAGAGGUCAGAAAAAAGACAAAUUCUGUUCCUUAAAGAGAUUGCAGUCUUCAGACUAGAAACCAGCAAUUACUUUGUAGCAUUGAUGAAGGUUGUCUGAUUGCAUCUUAAACCUAUAUAUUCGAAACUGAGCUUUGAAUUUUCCGCUACUACUUCCUCCUCAGCCUCCACAAACUGUUCCUUCAGUGGUCUUUCUUAUCCCAGUUGAUGGCAACUACAUCUUUCAGUUAUGCUUAGACAAAAUCUUGGUCCUUUACUCUUCUCUGUCUCUUGUAACCUACAUCCUAUGUAGCAGGAAAGCCCAUUAACACUGCCUCACUUCUUACCACCUUCUCUGCAGCCAACCUAAAUCCAGCUACCAUCAUAGGAUUAUUGCAACAGUCUCUAAAAUUGAUUUCCCUCCUUUCACCCCUGCCCCUGUUAUCUUCCAUCCUUGUGGUCCUUUUAAAGUAUAAAUAGAUUAUGUUGUGGUUCUGUUUUAAAUGCUCCAAUGUCUCUCCAUUUCACUUGGAGUGAAAGAGCCAGAGUCAUCCUGUUUUCUUAUGAGGUUCUGUCACCAAGUCCCAUGGACCUACAUCUCUGUGCACAGUUUCCCUGGCUCCCUCUGUUUCAGCCACACUGGUCUCCUUGCUGUUCCUCAACCACCCCAAGCACCUUCCUACUUCAGGGCCUUUGCACUGGCUGUCUCUUCUUCUUGACUGUUGUCCCCUUAAAUAUUUGCAUGGCUAAGUCUCCUGCACUUAGAUCUCUUUCCAAUCCUAUCUUCUCAUGGAAGCCACUAGCAGGCUGUGUAUUUAAAACUGAAACCUUGGCCGGGCGCGUUGGCUCAUGGCUGUAAGCCCAGAACUUUAGAAGACCAAGGCAGGCCAGAUCACCAGGUCAGAAGAUCAAGACCAUCCUGGCUAACAUGGUGAAACCCUGUCUCCACUAAAAA